rnacentral:rRNA from 1 species
UACGAAGGGGGCUAGCGUUGUUCGGAAUCACUGGGCGUAAAGCGCACGUAGGCGGAUUGCUAAGUCAGGGGUGAAAUCCUGGAGCUCAACUCCAGAACUGCCUUUGAUACUGGUGAUCUUGAGUCCGGGAGAGGUGAGUGGAACUGCGAGUGUAGAGGUGAAAUUCGUAGAUAUUCGCAAGAACACCAGUGGCGAAGGCGGCUCACUGGCCCGGUACUGACGCUGAGGUGCGAAAGCGUGGGGAGCAAACAGG